rnacentral:rRNA from 1 species
ACGCUGGCGGCGUGCCUAAUACAUGCAAGUAGAACGCUGAAGGAGGAGCUUGCUUCUCUGGAUGAGUUGCGAACGGGUGAGUAACGCGUAGGUAACCUGCCUGGUAGCGGGGGAUAACUAUUGGAAACGAUAGCUAAUACCGCAUAAGAGUAGAUGUUGCAUGACAUUUGCUUAAAAGGUGCAAUUGCAUCACUACCAGAUGGACCUGCGUUGUAUUAGCUAGUUGGUGGGGUAACGGCUCACCAAGGCGACGAUACAUAGCCGACCUGAGAGGGUGAUCGGCCACACUGGGACUGAGACACGGCCCAGACUCCUACGGGAGGCAGCAGUAGGGAAUCUUCGGCAAUGGACGGAAGUCUGACCGAGCAACGCCGCGUGAGUGAAGAAGGUUUUCGGAUCGUAAAGCUCUGUUGUAAGAGAAGAACGAGUGUGAGAGUGGAAAGUUCACACUGUGACGGUAUCUUACCAGAAAGGGACGGCUAACUACGUGCCAGCAGCCGCGGUAAUACGUAGGUCCCGAGCGUUGUCCGGAUUUAUUGGGCGUAAAGCGAGCGCAGGCGGUUAGAUAAGUCUGAAGUUAAAGGCUGUGGCUUAACCAUAGUACGCUUUGGAAACUGUUUAACUUGAGUGCAAGAGGGGAGAGUGGAAUUCCAUGUGUAGCGGUGAAAUGCGUAGAUAUAUGGAGGAACACCGGUGGCGAAAGCGGCUCUCUGGCUUGUAACUGACGCUGAGGCUCGAAAGCGUGGGGAGCAGACAGGAUUAGAUACCCUGGUAGUCCACGCCGUAAACGAUGAGUGCUAGGUGUUAGACCCUUUCCGGGGUUUAGUGCCGCAGCUAACGCAUUAAGCACUCCGCCUGGGGAGUACGACCGCAAGGUUGAAACUCAAGGGAAUUGACGGGGGCCCGCACAAGCGGU